rnacentral:lncRNA from 1 species
UUAAUUUAUCUCGGAUCCAUUUGAUUUUGUUUGGGGGUUGAGACAAUGUGUUUCUUACUUGGCUUUGGCACCGUGUCUCAGUUUGUACUACUAUACUGUCUAAGUUUCCCAUUUUAAAAUUGUCUUCAAGAAAUUUCAUGAAGGUAUCUUUGUUAUGGCAUUUGAGAAAAAUAGUUGCCACAUCUAGCUUCAGGAUUAAUUUAACAAUUAUCACUCCACAUGAUU